UUAAGUCCCGCAACGAGCGCAACCCUUAUCCCUAGUUGCCAUCAGGUAAAGCUGGGAACUCUGGGAGACUGCCGGUGAUAAACCGGAGGAAGGCGGGGAUGACGUCAAGUCCUCAUGGCCCUUACCAUCCCGGGCUACACACGUGCUACAAUGGCAGGUACAGAGGGCUGCGAAGCCGGCGAGGUGGAGCGAAUCCCAGAAAACCUGUCUCAGUCCGGAUUGAAGUCUGCAACUCGACUUCAUGAAGGCGGAAUCGCUAGUAACCGCGAAUCAGCAGGUCGCGGUGAAUACGUUCCCGGGCCUU
rnacentral:rRNA from 1 species